GUCAAUAGACAACAUAUUCAUAUUUUAAAAUAGUGUACAUUUAAACACAAAAGAAAACUACCCUUUAACAGGUAAUUUUUGGGUGCUAGAAAUAGCAGCCAACACGGCCAAAACCACGAUUUAAUAGCAAUUUUCGAAGUAAAUGAAAAAUAAAACUUUUACCUUGUUAUAUUUAUUAUCGGUUAUACCAUGGUUUCGAAUUUCUACACCAAAUAAGUUUAUUUACCAUCCUUUAAUAGGUAAUUUAGCAAAACAAUAUUAUUCGCCAGGCGAAUUCUCGUCAGUAACCGGCCUAUAUUAUAUAUAUAUCGGGAGAAUUCACAAAAAAAAGACAAAGACAGCAGGUGGUGUAGACAACAAACAGAUGUAUUAGUUUAACGCUCGGGAAGUGAAAAAAGUCUUUAACGUUUCGAGCCUACGCUCUUCCACAAAGGAACACAGAAAGAAACAGGGAGAGAAAAUAAAGAAUGUGUAGUGGCUAGUGAUCUAUCAUGGCGAAAGCCGAUAUACAGAUAUGCAUGCAUGCAUACAUACAUACAUACAUACAUACAUACAUACAUACAUACAUACAUACAUACAUACAUAGAAACAUACAUAUAUACAUACAUGUAUGUAUGUGUUAAUGUUUGUUUUUCUGUUUAGUUACAAUAAAAACAAUUUUACAUUAAUCUGACGGGUUACUCUAUACUUUUCUUGAGUAUGAAUUUAUUGACAGCGACUUCGAAGUGUCGGCCAGCUAAGCCGUCGUCGGACUUUGCGUGUACGUGUACGUGUGUGUGUGUGUGUGUGUGUGUGUGUGUGUGUGUGUGUGUGUGUGUGUGUGUGUGUGUGUGUAGGUAUUCAUGGAUCUAUCGAAAAUCUCGUAAGAAUUACAUAGGAAGUAUCAAAACAAAGAUUUCGGGCGUACGCGAAUUGACAUGUAGCUCAAAGCACACCACCUCUUCCUAAUCCUCUCUUUCUUUUUCUCCCUCUCUUUCUCUCUCUCUCUCUCUCUCACUCUCUCUCUCCCUUUUCAUCUAUUCAAAUGCUGGUGAUCUCUGUAAACAAACUCUUCCGCAAUAUUAUUCUAAAUGUCAUGCUUGAAGGUUUUAGGAAAUGCACUAACCGAACCCUAACGCUGCCUGCAUCAUCAUGGCGCUCCUCUCUUCCUCUCCUCCAACACGAAUAUUUACAGCGGAGCAAGAAGAGACGAGAAAUAAAAUCGCUUUGCAACAUCCUCGAGCUCUGAGGAUCCGGGCUACACCGCCUCUUGUCACGGUGUUACAUGAAAUAAUGUCCACCGCAACGAAGGCAAAUUGUUUCGAGCAAUCACUGACAGGGAUUUUUGGUUUUUGCCUCGCGCUGUUGGUUCUUGUUAUUUAAGAUCUGUGUGACAUGGUUAUGUGGUUAAGAAGCUCGUUUCGCCAACAAGUGGUUUCAGGUUCUGUCCUGCUGCGCGGCACUUUGGGCAAGUAUCUUCUGUUAUAGCCCUGGGCCGGGUGAGUGAAUUUGUUUGACAGAAGCUGUGUGGAAGUCCGUCACGCACACGCGCGCGUGUGUAUGCGUAUGUAUAUGUGUGCGUAUGAUAUAUGUGUGUGUAUGUAUGUGUGCGUGUGCGCGCGUGUCUUUGGGUUAAACUUUACCCGACAGUCCCGCUUGACAUCUAGUUGAGGCUUAUUUACGUCCUCGUAACUUAGCAGUUCGGCAGAAGUUUCCGGUAGAAUAAACACUAGAUUUAACACAUUAGUUCUAGGGUCGAUUUGUCCGACUAAACAUUUCAUAGCGCUCUAGUAUGGCCGCAGUCCAAUGACUGAAACUAGUAAAACGUAACAGACGCAGUAUGUUCGACUGACGACAUUUAUCACGUGACACUAAGUACUGUGUACUCCAUACGAAGUUCUCUUCUGUCGAUAUUAUUGACUCCGUUAUGACAGAAUCGUUAGCAAGCUGGGCGAAAUGCUUAGCGGUGUUUCGUCUGUCUUUACAUUCUGAGUUCAAAUUCCGCCGAGGUCGACUUUGCCUUUCAUCCUUUCGGGUUCGAUAAAUUAAGUUCCAGUACCAAUCAAGUAUUGGAGUCAAUGUAAUCGACUAUCCCUUUCCCCCAAAUUUCAGGCCUUGUGUGCCUAUAGUAGAAAGUAUUAUUGACUCCGUUAUUCCUCAAAUUCUUCCUGAAAUGAGCACUUUGUCUUCCUAAAACGUGUAUCCACACCAUACGGUUUCCGUACAAUCUGCUCACUAUACUUUUUAUAACUGUUAAAUCUCUUCUUUCUUAUUCAAUUUCUAGUUAUCAUUGUUCUCUCAAGACAUUGUCGAUGUAACACAUUCUUGAACAAAAUUGACAAAGUCAUCGUUCAAUUCUUGUAUGUCUUCCCCAAAGACUAUCAAAAUCAUUUUGUAAAUCUGGUAACUGACUUGUGCACAAUAUCAGUUUUUUUUUAUUGUAAUGUCAGUCCCUCUAAAGAGCUUACAACAUGCUUGGCAUUACAGGGCCCCGUCGGCCGAAGGCCGCCAGGUUAUCUGUGCUGGAAGCAGGGGCGGGGGUCUCAAAGUGGCUGUGCAUCAGGAGAUGUGAUCCCUGGAAGGAGCAGUGCUACCAGGUGUUGUGCUAACUGGAUACAAGAUAGCGUUUAAUGAACCCCAGCGGGUUGCCUGGGUGAUAGUGUCUGAUGGUGAAAGACCUGAAACACUUGAUAAAUCCAUGAAACAUCCCCGAUGGUGUGUCCAAUCAGGUGUGGAAUGUUGGUUGUAAAUGUUUUCAGUGAUACGGAGGACAACGUCAAUUCAAUAAAAUAUUAAUUAUUGGGUUUUCAAUGAAAGCAUAUUUGUGCUUCAAGAUGAGUUUACAAUGGAAGACUGUUUGUAUUUGAAGAUAAUUCAUCACGGGGUUUUGGUUCCAAAGACAUCGUGUUAAAUGAAUCAGUGAUAAAUGAAUAACAGAACAUAUUGGAAAAUAGGGUUCAUUCGAUACCCCAUGUGGUCCCCCGAACUUACCCUAAUAACACUUCCAAAGAAUUUUUAAACACAUAAUGAUAUCGUUUAAUGGUCGGAAUGAUAUUAGUAAAAUUUAAAAGCAUAUGAUUAGUAAAUAAUAUUUUUUAAAAACUGCAAAAUAUCGUAACGAGCAGAGUCUGUGACUGAUUGUCGACCCGUGAUCAAUCACAGAUUAAUCCGUGAUAAGCAUAACACAGUUCACAGUGGAGCGUACCGUGUUAAUCGAGAUCAGUGGUGAGUGGAUCAGUGGUAAACAAGGACAGAUAUGUGUAAUUAGGCUUAUUAUUGACAGUAUGUCACCGUUAGUAUUAAAGGAGAAUUGUAUUUACCUUUUAUGUAAUUGAAUAUAGCUACAGCUAAUCCAGAAAUCCCCUUUGAUAAGUAGUGGGGGUCGAUCUGUUUGAGUAACUCUCUUCAAAGCUGUGCCUCAGCAUGGCCGCAGUCUAAUGACUAAGAUCUGGUUUAGAUUUGUAAUCAUUUGGCUGUUACCCUUCAUACAGAGUGUUUUCCAUAUGGCUGCCCAAGGAAAGCAGUUCAUAAGUGUGUCUAUAUAUAAACUUCGACUUUCGCCCUAUCACUCUGACAUCGGACAGCAAAAAAGAAUUCCUGGCACGCACGUUGAAUGUUGGAGCUAUACUUGGGAAUAUGUGAAUCAUUGAUUCCAAAUAUAUCUUCAGACAGUUUUACGAUAUUCCUUCUAAUUUUGGAAACACGGUGUAUUUCUUUAUUCGCUCUUAUGUUCACGCGUGCACUCAAAUUAUGAACCGCAGUUGCACCUUCAAUUUUAAUUUUGGUAACUUUUCAAUCGAUGAUAUUCUCAGACCAAUCCAUGGGGGUUCUUGAAGUGAUAAUUUCGAAGAAGGCAAUUUAUUACAUUAAUUCCCAAUUACCAAAUUCUCAAAGCAGGAAUACAACAAACUCGGUGUUUAUAUAUGAGGUUGUCAGAUAAAUUUGUUCGUUUUUCCACUUAUUUUAAGGCAAGACUAACCACUCAGACGUAGGAAAACACCCCUAAAUUGAAGAUGUUCUCACUCAGCUGGAAUAAAACCCAGGCAAACAAAAUAUGGCAUACACCAUGAACGAUGUUAGUUCUAUCAAAAAGCAUAAUAUUCAAAUUUCCACAUUAUCUUUUCACGACCUCAUUAUAAAUUUAAAAUGACUGAUAAGGUAAACACACCCUUAUUUUAGGUCAAAUUUCUACCAAAUUGUCAAAGAUAAUAUGCUCUAAUUUGGAAUACCAACAGACUGGGGUACAGACGAGAUGCUGAAUCAAAGACAUUGAUGAAGUUGUGGGGUCGCUCAUAGCCAUAUGCAGCCGUUCGAGCGUUUUUGACCCCUGGGUGGUAGCAUUCAAGUGUCUUCGGAAGAUGAACAAAUUAAGUGUAUCUAAUCACACUAAAACAGCACCUAAGAAAGUACCAAAGUAAUACACGGGCAAACUUUAUUGGGACCUAAAGAUUGCUGAUCAUAGUCAGAAAUGCCAUUUUAGGGAAAACAAAAACCCAUAAUGUGUGUGUGUGUGUGUGUGUGUGUGUGUGUGUGUGUGUGUGUGUGUGUGUGUGUGUGUGUGUGUGUGUGUGUGUGUGUGUGUGUGUGUGUGCGUGCGUGCGUUUUGGGCAUGUCUUGAAUACUUCACCGUCAUCACUUGACAACCGGUGUCGCUUUAUUUACGGUUCGGCUUUAAAAGAAACAACAGAAUAAAUACCAGGAUUAAAAAUAAGUACUGGGUUCGACUUCAAGGCUGUACUCCAGUAUGGCCUCAGUCUCACGACUGAAACAAGUAAAAGAAUAAAAGAAUAAAUGACUAGAUACAUUAUUUACAUUUGACGGGUAUUUAUCCUCAUCUUGUAUGUUGUUAACACAACGCUUCGGCUGAUAUACCCUGCAGCCUUUUUCUUCGUCAGAGCUUUCUAGAUGUCGGCCGCAGGGUAUAUCAGCCGAAGCGUUGUGUUAACAACAUACAAGAUGAGGAUAAAUACCCGUCAAAUGUAAAUAUUGUAAGUAAUGUACAUAAUCCCUCAUCUCUUAAAUAUAGAACUGAAAAGACUAGAAUUUCAAACCAAGUUGAACUGUUGACACUCAUCAAGAAUUUGAAUCUCAGAAAACAGUCUUCGGAAUCACUGAGAUCCAACUUGAAUGAAACAAAAAAAUGUUGAUUUCAUUUUGGGACCAAGAUUACGUUUCAGCAAAUAAGGGGGGAGAUUUGCCGCCCUACACCUCUAAGAAGAGCAAUUUAGCAUUCUGCGAUAAUACUUUCUAACUUUGUCACUGAGCCAGCAAUUUUAGAGGACGGUGACAGUAGAAGACAUUUUCCCAAGACGUGCACUGCUUCUGCUAGCAGAAACAACCGGAAGUUAAUGAAGGUGGUUACGUAAUUCCUAUUUUCUUGCUUUCCUAUUAAUUCUACACACACAUACAUAGCAGUGCACCCAUUAUUGUUGCAUGCAUUCAAUUAUACCUUAAACUAAUUAUAGCAAUAAUUAUGAGUGACAGAGACAGUAUUAAUCCCAGAGUCCACAAAGGUACAAAUAGCAAACACGAUGCGCGCCAAAGGUAAUUUUGGUCUCCAACUUAACUUGGUGGCUGUGUUAGAAUACAGACUACUACGUUAUUUACCCGGAGAGAACCCCUUGCAUAAGGACUCGUGUGGUGUAAAAGCGCUCGUCAUUAUAUCGUUGACGGACGAGAAUCGUCUGCUACAGCCACCGGGACUGCCAGAUCACGUGAUGUCGCUAUGGGUUCCUCAGUGACAGAUGGUCUGCACACGUUAGAUUGGGAGUCAAGAUUACCUUUUAAUUAUAACAAUAAUUACAGAAUAUUUUAACAUAUCUCCAUCUUAGAAAUCGACCUUUCUUCACAUCUGACUUUCAUAUACGUCUGAAAAUAUUUUCAGACCGAACGAAAUACGAAAGCUUUGACAAUACUGCUUCUCUCUAUAAACAAUAUUUUCGAUUAAUCCUUCAUUAGUAGUUGAUAAAUGGAUGUUACACACCCGCAGCCUAUUGUCGAAACAUCUCCAUAUCGUGACGGAAGUCGAGCAGCUUUUGAUUCAAAGCGACGCUUCUAAGUUACUGUUUGACGUUUCUCAAUAGAUAUGGCGCAACAAAUCUUAACAAGAAAUAGUUGUCGUUUGAAAGGCAAAGGGAAAUUCACUGGAGACUUUCUACCAAAAUGAUGCUGCUGCUAUUCUUGUACGGCUCCUGCAAUGGCGGAUGUUGUUCGCGUAUCGUGUUUAUCAUUCGUAGCUUUGUGGUCGCUGGCAGCAACAUCCUGCCUGGCAGUACUUGACUUCCAAGGAUUUCUGUACUUCUCUCCAGUCUUACCAUUGAAUGGAGGAGAAGGGGGAGAAAAAAAAAGAAAGAGAGAACAAACCCGUAAAAUUUACAAACGUAUUUCUCAGGCAAAACAUACAUAAACACACACAGAUGCACAUACAUACAUACAUACAUACAUACAUACAUACAUACAUACAUACAUACAUGCAUACAUACAUACACAUAUACAUACAUACAUACAUACAUACAUACAUACAUACAUACAUACAUACAUACAUACAUACAUACAUACAUACAUACAUAUGCAAAAGUACCCUACUGAUGUUGUUGAAAUUCCAAUGAAGGCUCCUUGGAUCUGGGUUAGAAACCGGCUCUUUCUCCAUUGGCAAGAAAUCUUGAAAUAAGACUGAAUAAUGAUAUUCAUACAUGCAUGCAUACAAACAUAUACAUAGUUACAUAUUUUUACACAUACAUACACAUAUACAUAUAAACUUUUCCAUAAGCCUAAUGAGACACUUACACAUAAACAGUCUUGUCACCCUCCUGUAGUAUUUAAAAACCUGAUCGCUAGCAAUAGUAACAGAGUAUCUAACCUCUCUUCUUCCAAAGAAAUUUUCGACAAAGCUGCCCCUUAUUAUAACAAGGCCCUAGCCAAUAGUGGCUUCAAAGAUAAAUUAAUAUAUAAUCCUUCUAUUAAUCAAAAUAUUAAUAAUAGAUCUAGUGGUACCAAAGAUAAAGAAGCACCUAACCACUUCAAUAUUGAUCAGGAUAAUAAGAAACCAAAAAAUAGGCCAAGAAAAACUAUUUGGUUCAUCCCCCCCCUUCUCCUUUAAUAUAAAAACUAACAUUGGUAAAAGAUCCCUGUCACUCCUAGACGAACACUUUCCACCAACUCACAGAUACAGGAAAAUAUUUAAUAUGCAUUUUGUGAAAUUAUCAUGUAGCUGCUGCCCCCAAUAUGAAGAGUAUCAUUACACGUGGUCAACACCAAAGAGCCUGAAUCCAGCUGCAACUGUCGUGACUCAUGAUUCUGUCCACUUGACCAGCGAUGUAAGAUUAAAUUUAUCGUAUAUGAGGCAGAAGUUACUGCAACCCUACAUAAUAAUAGUGCAACUGAUAAGAAGACCUAUCCUGGAUUAUGUGUGAAGGAGGAUUUAAAAAAUCGCUCUGCCAAUCACAUAGCCUCCUUCCGACAUAAGGACAAAAAAUAAAGCUGCUAAGUUGGUUAGCUACAUGUGGACUUUGGAAGAUAACAAAACACUACAUGUGAUUAAAUGGAAAAUAAUUGAGAAAUCCAUUCCUUAUGUAAAUGGAUCGAAUAAACGUAGACUUUGCUUGGCUGAAAGAACUCAGAUCUAAGGUCCUUAACUCUCUAUUGAACUCCAGGUCAGAAAUAUUCAGAAAUAUUUUGAAGAACUGGAAAAUUCUGCCUAUUUCCUGACUGAUAUGAUAUCUUUCCAGCUUUAUCAUUUAACGUCUCAGGAUGAUAGCUCUUUUACCUUUUUAUUUUUUAUAUUUUAGUUUCUCUUUUUUGUUUACCGUUUUCCGUUUUUCGUUUUCCGUUCUUUACUGUCUGCAUUUUCUAUAUGCUGCCUUCUCAGCUUCAUCGCGUUUCUUCUAUACAUUCGAUUUCUUAGUUCGUUAUGAUAUGUGUGUUGCGCCCGAAGAAUAUGUUUGAAUUCACUCAAUAUAUGAAACUAUAAGUAGCGCUUUAAUACAUGUUUCAUGACCCUUAAAUAAAUAAUGGAUCUUUUCACUUUGACCGACAGAUUUAAAAAAUAAUUUCUUUGAAACUAAACACUUUUAAACUUCGUAUACUGGUAGAAUGUGUUACAUAAAACAUCUUUUGCUCUUGACUUUCUUGAGAAAAUUCUGUAGUUUGUAAGCUAUUUGUUGUUAAAUUUCUUGCAUUUCGGCAAUUUCAACCAAUCAAUGACGUCUAUUGAGGUGAAUACAAUUACUGCUGUUGUUUGUCAACAAGUUCAACAAGAACUUCCAGGGGUGUAUAUUUCGUUUACGAAACAGAUUGAAAUGCAAUAAAUUAUUUUUUAAAUCUGCCGGUCAAAGUGAAAAGAUCCAAAAUAAUAUUUAUCUCUCACCGGAUGGAGUACUUUUUUUGUUGAAUUUUCUAUCACGGAUCAGUACAUUGUAUGUGUGUGUACGUGUGUGUGUAUACAUAUAUAUACAGGGUGAUUCAAAAGUCACCAUACAUAGGAAAAUAUUCAUCUUUUUUAUAAGAAACAGUUAAAUAUAAAAACUGUUUCUUAUAAAAAAAUUAAUUGUUCUUAUGUAUGGCGACUUUUGAAUCACCCUAUACAUAUAUAUAUAUCUAUAUAUAAAACUGAUAUAUAUAUAUAUAUAUAUAUAUAUAUAUAUAUAUAUAUAUAAUAGAUAGAUAGAUAGAUAGAUAGAUAGAUAGAUAGAUAGAUAGAUAGAUAGAUAGAUAGAUAUGAUAGAUAGAUAGAUAGAUAGAUAGAUAGAUAGAUAGAUAGAUAGAUAGAUAGAUAGAUAGAUAGAUAGAUAGAUAGAUAGAUAGAUAGAUAGAUAGAUAGAUAUUGAUAGAUAGAUAGAUAAGUUUCUUUAUUGGCCACACAGGGCUGCACACAGAUGGGACAAAUUACAAGGUAGAGCUUUCCUUUUGGGGGAUGAAAAAAAAAAACAAAAAGAAAAAAAUGGCGUAUGUUUUCGAUCAAAAGGGAUCGUAAAAGGGAAAAAAGAAAUAAAAAGGAAAAGAAACAAAAGAAAAGAAAAAUGAAAAAAAGAAGAAAAAGGGGAAAAAAGGGGAAGAGGAAAAUAACGAUCAAUAGGGAUCGUGUAUCGCAAUGUCAUGAUGUACGAUGUAAAGGGGGAAACAGAUAAGGUUUAUCCGUGGGAAGAAAAGCCUACGAAAAAGACCACGAUAACCUCGGUCAAUAUUGUUAUGUUUACCACAUUUGUUUGCAAGUGGGUAACCCUCUGUUUUCAAUUUCUGGGUUCAUAGGAUUAUGCUCAAGGUGGCUUCGUCAUUCAUACGUGCCAUCCUUGCUGCAUUCACCCAUCUUUUUUAAAACAUUCGCUAGACAAAACUUGCCUCUCUACUCUCACUUUCCUUUUCAAGUGGUACUUGAAGAAGUUGAUGAGAGAUUGACCAGAGAGGAAAGUGUUUGUCUCUAAUCCUUUCAGGCGCGUCCACCAGAUACAUUCCUUCGCCAUAGCCACAAGGAUGAUGAAAAUAGCUCUUCCUUCCCGUUUGAAGGAAGGAGGCGUGACAAUAUUGACGAUAGACUCAGCUGAUAAACCGACUCGUCCCACACGUGACAGCAGUUGUUCGACAUAAGCCCACAGGUCGGCCCCGUGUUUCUCGAGCCGUGUCUGUAGAGCUUAUCCCGAACGGGUAGCGCUUCUCGGUAGCACUGCCAGGCCAGGGAUCUCUAGAAGUUGUCCAUGGGCCCUGGUUCGAAAGUCGUCCGAACAGGCGGGUCAGGUAUUCCUCGUCGACGUCCAGGUUCGCCCCGAGCUCGUCGUCGUAUCUCCCUCCACUAAUCCCCUAUAGAAUGCUUUGGUUGUGAUGGAGUCACUCAAGGUCGACCCAGGACGGCAGAGUUGCUUGAAAGCAACGCGACACGCGCGGUGUUCGCCCUUCUUCGGCCUCUUUUGAUCCACGACUGCAGUUCGGUCUGGAGAUGAGCUGAACAAACGGCGACCACACCUGUUCACCGUCGUCUACGAAGAGCCUGAGAUGUCGCAGUCUCAGCACGUGUCUCCGCAUCAUCAACCACGGCAUGCCCAGUCCUCCUUUUAACGGGUGUUGACAGCAAAUGGAUCGCCUGAUCAUCGGGACGCAUCCUUUCCACAAGAAGCGAAAGAGAAUGCGCUGUAGUUUGGUGAUGGUAGGGUCGGGACAAGGCACGACGGUCAGGUGGUAGUAGAUGACGGACGCGAUGUACGUGUUCGCCACCUCCGCCCGACCUUUUAGGGACAGUUUCCUCUCGGCCCAUUGCCGGGCGAGAGUGACCACCCUACUCGUUAUAUCGUUCCAGUUCUUCUUCACUUGGAGGUCCGGACCGAACCAGACCCCGAGCAACUCGACCGGACCGUCGGUCCAGCGUCCCACGACGGAGGCGCUGGGGGACGGCAUGGGCUUGCUUCUCCAGGUGCCUAGUCGCAAGCCCACUGACUUUUCCCGGUUGAUUUUCGCUCCUGUCACCGCUUCGUAGUUUUUCAGUGUCUCGCCGACCUGCUCGAUGUGCUCGUGGCUAGACACUAUGACGGUGACGUCGUCCGCGUAUGCAGACACGCUCGUCCCGCAUCCCAGUUUUCGCGGGAUGCCCCUCAGAGUUGCCAGCUUCCGCAAUAAUGGCUCAAGAGUCAAUACGUAUAGAAGCGACGAGAGGGGGCAUCCCUGACGGACCGAGCGUGCGAUGUCGAAAGGUCUCGAUAGAUGUCCAUUUACGCGAAUUACCGAACGGAUGCCUUUGUACAAAGCAGCUAUCCAGCCGCGGAAGACGGGGCCGAAGCCAGCCGCUCUGAGAACAGCCUCCAAGUAUCGAUGGUCUACCCUAUCGAAAGCUUUCGAUUGAUCCAAAUUGAUCAGCGCCCCACCCAUGCCAGGUUCGUUAACGACCCUGUCUAUGAUGUAGCGCAUCAGGUGGAGGUUGUCAUGGAUGAGAUAGAUAGAUAGAUAGAUAGAUAGAUAGAUAGAUAGAUAGAUAGAUAGAUAGAUAGAUAGAUAGAUAGAUAGAUAGAUAGAUAGACAGAGUUGCUACAACAAUACAAGUCCAUAUAUUUGGUUUUGUCUUUUUGUUACCACCAUUGGUAAAUGAAUGCUUUAAAAGCCGUCAUUCACAAGAGUUGCUUCAAUGUUUCUUUAAAAAAAAAACACUUUCCUUCACUCCAACCUUUGAAUGGAUAUCAUUUCUGUCUCAUGUUUUGUCAUCUCAGAGAAACCCCAUCUGUGGUGAACCAAUUUUUUAAUUACUAGUCUUAACGUUCUCUUUUGUAUCGUUUUCUUGUUAGCUUUUACAAAAUCGCUUUGUUUACGUUUUGAAAAUAUCUCGCCUGGAACAUCGCUAUGACAAUAACGGCCGACAGGCGAAGUUAGUUUGAAUCUAGUCUUUUCGCCAACCUAACCUGCUAAGUACGCGUCAAAUCCGUACUACAGCUUAUGUCCAAUGCAAUGAUCGAACGGUUUUUAUCAAUGGCUUUAAGCAGCUUUACUAGCACAUUCCGAUUCCGAUGGAUCAGUGGAUUUCAACUGGGGUCCAUAUGGCACCUGAGAGUGCAUCUAAGAUUUUUGUGGGGUCCACGCCACAAAAAAAUAAAUGGGAGAUCAUACAGUUCUAUAUUUAAGAGAUGAGGAAUUAUGUACCUUAUUUAUAUUAUUUACAUUUGACAGAUAUUUGUCCUCAUCUUGUUUGCUGUUAACACAAUGUUUCGGUUGAUAUAUACCCUCCAGCCUUCAUCGGGUGUCUUGGGGGAAAUUUCAAACCUGGGUUCUCAUUCCUAAGGUAUUUUUCGAUGUUGUUAUUAUUAUUAUUACUGUUAAGGGCCCCUGAAAUAAUGUUGCUUUAGAUGUAUACAUUUGUAUGUAUUGCAAGAAACAGACCGGUUUCUUUAGCAUUUUACAGAGUUCAACCAACACAAGGGAAUAUGUGGUUAACAAAAUAGGAAUUUUGAAAGAAGUAUCUCUAAAACUAGUUUUCAAACAUUGAAUGGCUAUGGCGGGGUCCACCAGAAUAAAAUAGUAAUGAAAGGGGUCCAUAGAUAAAAAAUGGUUGAGAACCUUUAGAAAAGAUGGUUAGAAGCUCUGCCGAUUCUGUUACUGGGUUUGCGUACCACUGUUAAAGAAGACCGAGGUUAUUGCCCGGCAGGACUGUUGUAUGGUUCGCCACUUGGACUGUCUGGUCAAAUGAUAUUGACUACGGCUUCUCAACUUAAUCCUACCAACUAUAAUUACAGGGUGAAGCUACCCGCAUUAAUAACGAGACCUCAGUCGGUUAACUUUCGUUCAAGCCAAUAUCAAUAUCUGGAGUCGUGUAUUUGUACACAGACAUUUUGUUUCGUCCCGUCCCGCGUGUUAAAAAUUAAACUAUAAUGUAUGGUUUUGAACAUUCAGACGAGAUAGGAAACUGGCGGUGUUUAUCGACUUAAGCAAGCUUUCGCCGAGUCUCUUCUCCUCCCACCACACUUCUCUCCCUCGUCUGACACACCCAAACAAUGCACGCGUAGACAACGCUUUAUCCAACAACAGGGUGACCCAAAGAGGAAAGAGAGUACACUGAGUCCGUUGGAUGGCUAGGUACACUUGCACGUAUUUUCAUUAACACACACACACACACACACACACAGGUUUUCUUUUAUAGUUUCCAAUACAAAAAAUGAACUGAAGAACUUUGCAUUUUCUAUGAACUUUUCAUUGUUGUAUGGGCAUUUUUUCAAAACAAUUUUUCAGAUUGAUAGGUAGACAGAUACAUAAAUACAUCGACAGGUGUGUAGACAGAUUGCUCCUUCAACGCUGCCUUUGUGGAUUUUCACAUUUUCUCAAGAAUCAAAUGUUUCAGAAAAAUAUACAAUUUCUUCAUACAGUUUUCAAAAUAACCGUGGAAUUUCCACGAAUACUGCGAGUUAUUAUCCUUUUCUACUCAAGGUAUAAGGCCCAAAAUUUUGGGGGAGGGGGAUAGUCGAUUAGAUCGACUCCUGUACGCAAAUGGUACUUAAUUUAUCGACCUCAAAAGGAUGAAAGGUAAAGUCAACCAAGGUGGAAUUUGAACUCAGAACGUAAAGACAGACGAAAUACCGGUAAGCAUAUCGCCCGAUGUGUUAACGUGUCUGCCAACUCGCCGCCUUGUUAGUUAUUAUUAUUAAUUUUAUGUUCGAGUCAGAGGUGAAAAAGCAGUGCGAAGAUCCUGUUAAGGGCCCCCAAAAUUGGUGGAAGAAAGCAAGAAAGGGAGUUAUCUUUACACAGGAAUCUAGAUAAAAUACUUAGUGUAAGGAAUUUUGCUAAAGACUUUAAAUAUUCUGUUAGUGAUGUUAAACUGAGCGAAAGAUAAAUGUCGGAUAUUUAUAUGAAUGGAAAAAAAAGAUGUCAAAACCGUUUAAAGACAACGUAGAGAAAUGAUUUACACAUGUCAAAAUUUAGCAAACUAAAACGAUUUUAUAUCUCAUAAAUUUAUAAAUAUAGAAAUAUUUUAAAAUAUAUGUAAUAAUCAUAAUGGGAAUAGUCUAUUCUCGUUGAAAAUUGAAAAACAGGAUAGCGAAGAAAAAGUUAAAAACGAAGAGAAUUUCGCAUAAUCUUGAUGAAUGGAAGUGAAACGUGUCUACAGAAUGUACAAAAAAAAUGAUAAAACAUUUCACCAUAAACAAAGUAUGAAAAUAUAGAUUUAAAUAUAUAUGUGCGUACGUGUACAUGCACAAACACAUGUGUGUGUGAGUGAGUGUGUGUAUGCGUGUGUUUGUGUCUGUAAGUGAGUGUGUAUAAAUAGAAUUAUAGCAUAUUUUGCAGCAUAAUUCUGUUGGCGCCUCUGUUCACUCGGAGCAUUUCAGUUGUGUACACGAGAGAAGCUUCGGUUUUUAGUUUCGUUUGAGCAAAUUUUUAAAAUUUAAGAAACCUGACAUUUGAGAAUUUGAUAAUGGCCCAGGGUUUAAUAACACUCGCAGAUUAAAUUUCAACCAGUGAAUAGUGAAAAAUGGGACUUUUACAUCUAAAAUAGAGACAGUAUCAUUUGAAUGGUUCUCAUUGUUUAACAGGCAAUUUUCUAUCGACCCUGAGAGAAUUCAAACACUAUCAGCUAUGGCAGGAUUUGAAAUCAAAACCAACAAGGCUAAAUUAGAUAACGUUAAGCGGUGUAUUCAUUAGUCUCGGUAUUUGUGUUCCACAAUGUAUUAUUAUUAUUAUAAUAAUUUUUUUUAAAAAUAUGGUCCGUUGUCUUCUGCUGAACCGGGGUCAUCCCUUGACCCUAGGGUCACAGCAGGUCUUCAUCUCAUGGAAAGUACACGGCGUAAAAUGUAUGCGGGACCUACCCACACUAUUUUUUGAAGUUCUCCCACGUUAACACUGCAAGGGAGUUUGUUGAGCUGCUUAUCAAGGCCCUUUUUAAUUAACCCUAACGCUCCAAUCACCACUGGUGUUGUGCUGCUUUUCAUUCCCCACAACUUGGUCACUUCUAUUUCUAGGUCUUUGCACUUAACUUCUCAACUUCUUUAAUGGACACAUUUCUCUCUGAUGGUACUGUCACAUCUAUCAUUAAGCAUUUCUUAUUCUUCCCAUCUUUGAUGAUUAUGUCCGGCCUGUUUGCCUUGAUUUUUAUAUCGGUGUUGUUGUUAUUAUUAUUGUUGUUGUUGUUGUUGUUGUUGUUGUUGUUGUUGUUGUUGUUGUUGUUGUUGUUGUUGUUUUUGUUGUUGUUGUUAUGGAAGGCGGUGAGCUGGCAGAAACGUUAGCACCGGGCGAAAUGGCUAGCGGUAUUUCGCCUGCCGCUACGUUGUGAGUUCAAAUUCCGCUGAGGUCGACUUUGCCUUUCAUCCUUUCGGGGUCGAUAAAUUAAGUACCAGUUGCGUAUUGGGGUCGAUAUAAUCGACUUAAUCCAUUUGUCUGUCCUUGUUUGUCCUCUCUGUGUUUAGCCCCUUGUGGGUAGUAAAGAAAUAGGUAUUUCGUCUGCCGCUACGUUCUGAAUUCAAAUUCCGCCGAGGUCGACAUUGCCUUUCAUCCUUUCGGGGUCGAUAAAUUAAGUACCAGUCGCGUACUGAGGUCGAUCUAAUCGACUAGCCCCUCCACCACAUUUAAGGUCUUGUGCUUAUAGUAGAAAGGAUUACUAUUAUUAUUAUUAUUAUUAUUAUUAUUAUUAUUAUUAUUAUUAUUAUUAUUAUUAUUAUUAUUAUUAUGAGACGUGUCUAAAAUUAUUAAAAGAUAGUUUGAGAAAAUAGACAAUGAUUUAGGCUUAUUUUGAUCGGCAAUUUUGGGUCACGCAAUUUUAAUCCCUCAAUGCAACAAAAGUGAUCCUUUAAUUUUCUUUUCUUUUACUUGUACGAUGUCGUAUGCAAAAAUAAUGUAAAAAGACGGCAGAGACACAUUUAAGGCAUUUAGCUUACCUAUCGACUCUUCUUUUGGUUCAUCAUAUUUGGUAUUUGUAGAUGACACGCAAAGACUGUAUUCGUGGUCUUUCUGUAAAUUUCCUUAUGUAACAAUUGCGUUAGUUAAGCAUACAAAAUGAAAAGGUUUUAGUGACAUUUCAUUGCAGAUCUGAUCAAAAUUUCCAAUAAGGAAUUCCAUCCAAAAUAAUUGCAAAAACGCUUGUAGAAUUUGCAAAGAACAAGGCAACAAAAUAUAAAUGGAUGUCUUUUACAGACAAAGUACAUUUCAACUUUGUUAUGCAGACACGUACCGAGAAACACACGUACAAAAACAUAUAAAGACACAGAAUUAUGCGCCCAUACGAGUAUAUAGAGAUGUCGGAAUAUUCCUUAGGGUAAAACGUUUUCCAAAAAGAAAUUUGUAGAGUGCUCAAUAUACUGACAGCAUCAAAUGGAACUGGAAUAUAUAAUUUUGUCAUAUCGAUGUGAACAUUAAUUUUGUUAUUUGGCAUAUUGUACAUAGCAACAUAAAUGCCUGAAUCAUUUGUUGUGGGGUACAGUGCGGGCGUUCUGUUGAGUGGAGAAGGGCUCUGUAUGUGUUUUGACAAUUGCCGAAAAGAAAGUGCUGAGGAAUAUGUAAUGUUUGAAUGAGCCUGUUAAAUGUCAAAAUCCAUACCAUGUAAUCUGUUGCUCAAUCAUGCUUUGAUAGCCGUCUGUAUGCAUCUCAUUUAGCUAUCAAUCUAUCACAAUACUCUGUGUGUGUGUAUGUUUGUGUAUGUAUCUGUGUGUGCGUGCGCUCACCUACGAUUGUCAGUUCAUAUAUAUCUAUUAGGUCAUCCCAUAAAUAAUGCGGUUUUUUCAAUUGCAUGAACUAAAAGUCGGUGGGGUACGGGAUAAACUACCUGCAUCAACUUACUAUAAAAGCAGGUAGUAAUUUUAACGUGUCCUUAUUCUUAGUGCAAGUUUUGAAGAGUGCAGUUCGAUUUUAACAGUUAUCUUUUCAAAGCUAUAAUGGAAGUAACAAAGGAACAUAUUCGGCAUAUUUUGCUUUAUGAGUUCAAGAAAGGCAACAACGUGACGGAAAGUGCGAGGAAUAUUAAUGCAGUAUAUUGGGAUCGGACAAUAAGCGUAGGCCAGUGUCAACGGUGGGUCUAGAAAUUCCGAGCGGGAAACUACAGCCUAGAAGACGAGUCUCGUCCUGGAAGAUCUGUAGAGCUCGACGGGGACAUCCUGCAAAACCUGGCGGAACAAAAUCUCAUCGUAAUUGUUGAGGAACUAGCAGAGAAGCUUGGAUCUGGUCAUUCAACCAUUCAUCGACACCUGCGUGCCAUCGGAAAAGUCAGCAAAUUGGGUCAAUGCGUUCCUCUCAAACUUUCCGAGUCUAAUCUCACGCAGAGAGUGAAUGUGUUCUCUUCUUUGCCGUCAGGUCUCACGAAUGAACCUGAAUAGUUCUAGUAACGAGAAAUGGCUUCUCUAUAAAAAUGUCAAGCGCUGGAGACAGUGCGUAGGGAAAGAAGAAACAUCGGCACCCCAGGCUAAAGAUCCCCACCCAUGUAAGGUGUUGUUAUCUGUUUGGUGGGAUAUGAAAGGUUUAGUCCACUUUGAACUUUUAAGCCCAAACCAAAUGAUAACAAAGGAGAUCUACUUUGAGCAGCUUGAGCGGCUUAAGACAGCGCUGGAAGAAAAACAACCAUGUUUGGUUUGAAGACGAAAGGUGUUCUUCCAUUAGGAUAAUGCUCGGCCACAUACAGCGAGGAUGACAUUCCAAGGGCUGGACCAAUUUGAAUGGGAAACGAUACCCCACCCACCAUAUUCACCAGGCAUUGCCUCAUCUGAUUAUCAUUUAUUCUGCAGUCUUCAAAAUCAUUUGGACGAAAAAAAUAUGAAUUCCGUAGACGAGGUCAGAACAGUACUGGAGGAGUAUUUUUAAUCACGGAUGAGUGAAUUUUGGAAAAGGAGCCUUGUAAGUCUACCGGAUAGAUGGAAGAGCAUUGUAGAAAAUAAAGGAGAGUAUAUUUGAGAUUUAAAAAGAAAUCUGGAAAACUAAAAGAAGUAUAAAAAACCGCAUUAUUUACGGGAUGACCCAAAACUUAUCAAUUCAAUUCGUGUAUCUCGUGCAAUAUGUUUGUGAUUACGUAUUAUCGAUGUGUGUGUGCGCACGCAUGUGUAUGUAUGUAUAUAUAUAUAUAUAUAUAUAUAUAUAUAUAUAUAUAUAUAUAUAUAUGCAUACAUAUGUAUGCAUACAUACAUACAUACAUACAUAUAUACAUACAUACAUACAUACAUACAUACAUACAUAUAUACAUACAUACGUAGACGUAUAUGUAAUUACAGAGAGGAAGAGGAGGGGAGAGAGUGGGUAGAGAGAGGAGGGGAGAGAGUGGGCAGAGAGAGAGGAGUGAGUGAGUGAGAGAGUAAAUUAUUAAGAAAACCUGAUUACGAUUGGUGAAAAACAUUUAACUGUGAAGAUGAAAUCAUUUGCGUCGAAUUUCUAAUUCUUCAACUUAUUACUCUGAGAAGCCUAUUUAAAAUGUUGAUGGCGGUGGCAGUGGUGGGCGAGGUUGUAACGUUGAUUGCUGCUGCUGUGGUUGUUGUUUUUUUAGCCUGUAUAAAUCCUGGUUGAGAAGACCUCAUGAAUAAAGCCCCCGUAAUAUCGAAGACCUCGUAAUAUCGAAGAGAUUGUUGUUGUUGCUGUUGUUUAUAGCCUUAGAUCAACCCUAAUCGAAGAGACCGAUAAACCAGUGAACUUGAGAUUAAAAGCAUUUCAAUGGAAUUUAAAACUACAUCGCAUGACAUUUGGUUUUCUUACUAGAACCAAUAGCGCGUGGGUUGAGGAAGAUUUUAUUGCUAUUUCUAGUAGGCCCGGCAACCACGUAGAGGAAUUUAUCAUUGGCUGGUCUGUAAUAUUGAUUCAGAGAAUACUGGUGACCGCCAUUAUCGCCUCUUUCACCUCCUCCUCCUACUCCUACUCCCACCGUUCUCUCCCCUUCCUCCCACUCCACCUCACUUUAUCGUCUCAUGAUAUGUCAAGCUGUUCCAGACACUCGCUUUGAUACAACUUUUCCAGCCUUUUUUCUUUCGUUCCGUAUGUAUCAAAUAUUCUCUUUCUCUCUCUCUCCCUCCCUCCCUCCCUCUCUCUCUCUCUCUCUUUAUCUGAUUCUUUCUCUCUCUCUCUCUCUCUCUCUCUCUCUCUCUCUCUCUCUCUCUCUCUCUCCCAUUUUUUCUUAUUCAUUCAUUUUCUUCAGUUUUCUUCGUCCUUUUUCUUUCUUCCUCCUACCUCUAUCGUUUUCUUCAGAUUUCAAUGUUUUUAUUCCCAUCCACAAACUUUCAGUCUUUCUUUUACCAUAUCUGUCUAUUUAUCUAUCUACACACAUGCAUAUGCAUACAUACAUACGUACAAACACACACACACAUAUAUAUAUAUGUAUGUAUGUACAUACAUACAUACAUACAUACAUACAUACAUACAUUGCAUAUAUAUAUAUAUAUAUAUAUAUAUAUAUAUAUAUAUAUAUAUAUAUGAAUGAAUGAGAAAAAGAAGAAAAUGGAGAAAUUGACACGCAGACAUCAGUUUAUUUUUAAAUAUUCAAAUCCAUAUAAUAAAAGUCCAGUCCUACAGCCGUUUCCACAUCCAAUUAGUUCAAUUACAGAGAUUAAAAUAAUUUGAAUUAAAUUAAAUUAAUUUAAUUAAAAUUUUCAUGAUGAAACUGGUUAAUUGAGUAUUUCAUCAUCAGGGAAGAAUUCUCCAAAAGAGAGUUACAUUUCAACAUGAUGGUUGACCUACGAGAGACCCAGAUGUGUGCGCUUUAGAAUGUGUGCGUUGUUGUUAGGUCAACUAAUACUUUGAAAUGUAGCACUCUUUUCGAAAAUUCAUCCGUGAUGAAAUACUCAAGUAACCAAUUUUAACAAGAACAUUUUAAUUAAUUUAAUUUAAUUUAAUUUCUGUAGUUGAACUAAUUGGAUGUGGAAACGGCUGUAGGACUGGAAUUUCAUUAUAUGGAUUUAGAUAUCUCUAAAUAAACCGAUGUCUGCAUGUCAAUUUCUCCAUUUUCUUCUUUUUCUCAUUCGAAAAUAUUUUAAAUACCUAUAUAUAUAUCAAUGUAAAACUAAUGUAUUUAGUUUUCACUGAACACUGGUAUAAACCAGAGAACUAGGAUGCUAGCAUCCCUUAAACGAUUAUUGGUCCUUAUACAAUUAUAUAUCUAUAUGUAUAUUUAUAUAUAUAUAUAUAUAUAUAGGAAAAAUAAACCCUGUUCCUCUAGAAGAGCAUUCUUUGGAAAACAACUGCAGGAUACCAAUGAAACGGCAAAGUGUCGGUCGCUACCAGUUCCUUGGAGAUACCAUCAAAGGAAGGAAAGAAAGAACAAAGGAAAUUUUAAAAGAAGUAACUUUAUUUUAUCUAACAAAACAUUAAUUCUUUGUUACGUCUAAAAAUUUGCUAACAUUCAGCAUCCUUUAUCUUAUACAGUUAUAUAAAAUUGGAAGUAAGCCUAUAAAGUCAAAAAGAUGUGUUGUUUUUAAUUUUGUAUGUUAUCGAAUGCUUGUAGUGGCCUGUCUUGAAGUAGUAUAGUUUUGAACCUUUGCAUAGAGCAUUUUCAAUUCAGUAAUCUUUAAAAUGUAUAAAUACACUUUUAUUCCACAUCUCUCUUGUGUUUACAAGGAUUUAGGCAGCGGAAAUACUGAAGUUUGCAUCUUGUGCCAUCUAGUGAU
rnacentral:lncRNA from 1 species